rnacentral:rRNA from 1 species
AACGAACGCUGGCGGCAGGCUUAACACAUGCAAGUCGAGCGCCCCGCAAGGGGAGCGGCAGACGGGUGAGUAACGCGUGGGAAUCUACCCAUCUCUACGGAAUAACGCAUGGAAACGUGUGCUAAUACCGUAUACGUCCUUCGGGAGAAAGAUUUAUCGGAGAUGGAUGAGCCCGCGUUGGAUUAGCUAGUUGGUGGGGUAAAGGCCUACCAAGGCGACGAUCCAUAGCUGGUCUGAGAGGAUGAUCAGCCACACUGGGACUGAGACACGGCCCAGAAUCCUACGGGAUGCAGCAGUGGGGAAUAUUGGACAAUGGGCGCAAGCCUGAUCCAGCCAUGCCGCGUGAGUGAUGAAGGCCCUAGGGUUGUAAAGCUCUUUCACCGGUGAAGAUAAUGACGGUAACCGGAGAAGAAGCCCCGGCUAACUUCGUGCCAGCAGCCGCAGUAACAC